AUUCCAGCUCCAAUAGCGUAUAUUAAAGUUGUUGCAGUUAAAAAGCUCGUAGUUGGAUUUGUGGCUGUCGCUAGCGGCCUAUCACCUAGUGUUAGUGCUUGCUGGCGUCGCCAUCCUUGGGUGGAGCCUGCGUGGCAUUAGGUUGUCGUGCAGGGGAUGCCCAUCGUUUACUGUGAGAAAAUUAGAGUGUUCAAAGCAGGCUUAUGCCGUUGAAUAUGUUAGCAUGGAAUAAUAAGAUAGGACCUUGGUACUAUUUUGUUGGUUUGCGCACCGAGGUAAUGAUUAAUAGGGACAGUUGGGGGUAUUCGUAUUCCAUAGUCAGAGGUGAAAUUCUUGGAUUUCUGGAAGACGAACUACUGCGAAAGCAUUUACCAAGGAUGUUUUCAUCG
rnacentral:rRNA from 1 species